UACGUAGGGGGCUAGCGUUGUCCGGAAUCAUUGGGCGUAAAGCGCGCGUAGGCGGCCCGGUAAGUCCGCUGUGAAAGUCCAGGGCUCAACCCUGGAAAGCCGGUGGAUACUGCCGGGCUAGAGUCCGGAAGAGGCGAGUGGAAUUCCUGGUGUAGCGGUGGAAUGCGCAGAUAUCAGGAGGAACACCGAUGGCGAAGGCAGGUCUCUGGGCCAUAACUGACGCUGAGGCGCGACAGCGUGGGGAGCAAACAGG
rnacentral:rRNA from 1 species